CACGGCGGCUCCCAACGGACGCUCCCAGCAGGUAAAAUAGCAAAGUUCAUUUCAUGUCAAGGGAAUGAAGUCUCUUUUCUAUGCUGGAGGAUUGGUGCUUCAGGAAGAACACAGAUAGCCACACAAUUAUCUUCAUAGAAAUGUCCACAGUAAAUUGG